UACGAAGGGGGCUAGCGUUGUUCGGAAUUACUGGGCGUAAAGCGCGCGCAGGCGGUCUUCUAAGUCAGUGGUGAAAGCCUGGAGCUCAACUCCAGAACUGCCAUUGAAACUGUUAGACUUGAGUACGAGAGAGGUGAGUGGAAUUCCCAGUGUAGAGGUGAAAUUCGUAGAUAUUGGGAAGAACACCGGUGGCGAAGGCAAUCCCCUGGGCCUGCACUGACGCUCAUGCACGAAAGCGUGGGGAUCAAACAGG
rnacentral:rRNA from 1 species